CGGACGGGUGAGUAAUGUCUGGGAAACUGCCCGAUGGAGGGGGAUAACUACUGGAAACGGUAGCUAAUACCGCAUAACGUCGCAAGACCAAAGAGGGGGACCUUGGGCCUCUUGCCAUCGGAUGUGCCCAGAUGGGAUUAGCUAGUAGGUGGGGUAACGGCUCACCUAGGCGACGAUCCCUAGCUGGUCUGAGAGGAUGACCAGCCACACUGGAACUGAGACACGGCCAG
rnacentral:rRNA from 1 species